UACGAAGGGGGCUAGCGUUGUUCGGAUUUACUGGGCGUAAAGGGCGCGCAGGCGGCGCAUUUUGUCAGGCGUGAAAGCCCCGGGCUUAACCUGGGGACUGCGUUUGAUACGGAUGGGCUAGAGUUCGGGAGAGGAGAGUGGAAUUCCCAGUGUAGAGGUGAAAUUCGUAGAUAUUGGGAAGAACACCGGUGGCGAAGGCGGCUCUCUGGACCGAGACUGACGCUGAGGCGCGAAAGCGUGGGGAGCAAACAGG
rnacentral:rRNA from 1 species